rnacentral:pre_miRNA from 1 species
CACCAGUGCAGGCACUUACCAGUCAGUCUCUGGCUAUACUACAGGACACAGUAGUUCCUGGGUAUAGUCAGAGGCUGACUGCAAACUGACCCAG